AACGAACGCUGGCGGCGUGCCUAAUACAUGCAAGUCGAACGCUUCUUUCCUCCCGAGUGCUUGCACUCAAUUGGAAAGAGGAGUGGCGGACGGGUGAGUAACACGUGGGUAACCUACCCAUCAGAGGGGGAUAACACUUGGAAACAGGUGCUAAUACCGCAUAACAGUUUAUGCCGCAUGGCAUAAGAGUGAAAGGCGCUUUAGGGUGUCGCUGAUGGAUGGACCCGCGGUGCAUUAGCUAGUUGGUGAGGUAACGGCUCACCAAGGCCACGAUGCAUAGCCGACCUGAGAGGGUGAUCGGCCACACUGGGACUGAGACACGGCCCAGACUCCUACGGGAGGCAGCAGUAGGGAAUCUUCGGCAAUGGACGGAAGUCUGACCGAGCAACGCCGCGUGAGUGAAGAAGGUUUUCGGAUCGUAAAACUCUGUUGUUAGAGAAGAACAAGGACGUUAGUAACUGAACGUCCCCUGACGGUAUCUAACCAGAAAGCCACGGCUAACUACGUGCCAGCAGCCGCGGUAA
rnacentral:rRNA from 1 species